rnacentral:rRNA from 1 species
UACGAAGGGGGCUAGCGUUGCUCGGAAUCACUGGGCGUAAAGGGUGCGUAGGCGGGUCUUUAAGUCAGGGGUGAAUCCUGGAGCUCAACUCCAGAACUGCCUUGAUACUGAAGAUCUUGAGUUCGGGAGAGGUGAGUGGAACUGCGAGUGUAGAGGUGAAAUUCGUAGAUAUUGGGAGGAACACCGGUGGCGAAGGCGGCAUCCUGGACCAACACUGACGCUGAGGAGCGAAAGCCAGGG